rnacentral:rRNA from 1 species
GUCGGGAAUUUUGCGCAAUGGACGAAAGUCUGACGCAGCAACGCCGCGUGAGGGAUGAAGGCCUUCGGGUUGUAAACCUCUUUUAUCAGGGAAGAUAAUGACGGUACCUGAUGAAUAAGUCACGGCUAACUACGUGCCAGCAGCCGCGGUAAUACGUAGGUGACAAGCGUUGUCCGGAUUUACUGGGCGUAAAGAGCGCGCAGGCGGUCGAUCAAGUCGAGUGUGAAAGCCCCCGGCUCAACUGGGGAGGGUCAUUCGAUACUGAUCGACUCGAAGGCAGGAGAGGGUAGUGGAAUUCCCGGUGUAGUGGUGAAAUGCGUAGAUAUCGGGAGGAACACCAGUGGCGAAGGCGACUACCUGGCCUGUUCUUGACGCUGAGGCGCGAAAGCUAGGGGAGCAAACGGGAUUAGAAACCCGAGUAGUCC